rnacentral:rRNA from 1 species
UACGUAGGUGACCAGCGUUGUCCGGAUUUACUGGGCGUAAAGAGCGCGCAGGCGGUCGUGCAAGUCGCGUGUGAAAGCCCCCGGCUCAACUGGGGAGGGUCACGCGAUACUGCUCGACUCGAAGGCAGGAGAGGGAAGUGGAAUUCCCGGUGUAGUGGUGAAAUGCGUAGAUAUCGGGAGGAACACCAGUGGCGAAGGCGACUUCCUGGCCUGUUCUUGACGCUGAGGCGCGAAAGCUAGGGUAGCAAACGGG